rnacentral:rRNA from 1 species
UACGUAGGGUGCAAGCGUUAAUCGGAAUUACUGGGCGUAAAAGCGUGCGCAGGCGGUUAUGUAAGACAGAUGUGAAAUGCCCGGGCUUAACCUGGGAACUGCAUUUGUGACUGCAUGGCUAGAGUGUGGCAGAGGGGGGUGGAAUUCCACGUGUAGCAGUGAAAUGCGUAGAGAUGUGGAGGAACACCGAUGGCGAAGGCAGCCCCCUGGGCUAACA